AGAUUGAACGCUGGCGGCAUGCCUUACACAUGCAAGUCGAACGGCAGCACGGGAGCAAUCCUGGUGGCGAGUGGCGAACGGGUGAGUAAUACAUCGGAACGUGCCCAAUCGUGGGGGAUAACGCAGCGAAAGCUGUGCUAAUACCGCAGUAAGAUCUACGGAUGAAAGCAGGGAUCGCAAGACCUUGCGCGAAUGGAGCGGCCGAGUGGCAGAUAGGUAGUUGGUGAGGUAAAGGCUCACCAAGCUCGAUCUGUAGCUGGUCUGAGAGACGACCAGCCACACUCGGACUGAGACGACGGCCCAGACUCUACGGGAGCGAGCGAGGUGGGAUUUUAGGACUAAGUGGACGAAAGCCGUAGACUCCGAG
rnacentral:rRNA from 1 species